GAUAUUGUCACCCCAGGGUCACAGAUGAAGGAGGCACAGCACCAAGAAGUAGAGGGGGACGGUGGUGGAAACAAUUAAAAUCUGGAUGCGUCUGUCUCCAGAGUCCACGCUUUUCUUCUGUUCACCGGUCACCUCUCCAGGAUGCCUUCCCUGAAUAAUUCUGCUUGUGCUCUUGAAAAACAUUCUCACCUCCAGGCUUUUCAACACUGAUAGCUGUGGUUUAAAACUGCUUACGCUUUCAUAAUAGAUUCCUUAUUCCAGGGCCUCUUAAUGAUGUAUGCACAUCGUUUAUUACUGUUUACAUUUGUAUAACAAAUACAGUCAGCACAUCUCCAUGUAUCGCUUUGGGUUGGUGUCUGGAGGCUUUGCAAGCUCACUUCCCUCUCUUGCUGUUACCACAUGCGCCCCCCUAGGGAGGACCGUUGUCCUCUAUUUCUCCCUACACCUCUGUGUGCGGCCCACGGCUUGGGGGUGCCACAGUGUGAGGAAAGCUAUGGUUAAGUAAACUGUGUCAUGCCUUGUCCUCAAGGCCCCCUUCCCCUCUUCCCACUCCAGACCCAGAAAGAAAGGUGCCCGCUCUGGGAGUUUCCUCAAACGGCGUGAGGGAGCCCGGUGGGCUGGCGGCCCUGUGUAUGUACACUGUUCCCAGCAUAUGGUCUACACGCUGGUGCACGUGAUCUUGGGCAGACGCUGAUGGUAGGCCUUCACUGACUCUCCUCAGUCCAGUCUGUUCCACCCAGAACCACAGCCACUUGAAGUCACGAGCAAUGAGUAGGCAGAGACCGAUGCAGAUCUAGCUGCAGAACCCGAGGCAUUGAUAUUAUUGCCGUUGGACUAGAGAAGAGGAGACCGAGGCUCUGGAAGGUGAAGCAGGCGGGCUACAGGUGCACAGCUAGUGAGCGGUCGGGCCGAGCUCCAAUCCGGGAAGGGCUGAAUAAACAGAAACAACAAGAAAAAUGAAGGCACAACUGGACCCAUGGCUUCUUCUCAUUCUUCCUGCCCUCCCUGAGCGCUCUGGUCUGCUGGAUUCCAGGAACCUUUACGCCAGGCCACAGUUCACGUUGCAGAAAGUCAAAAAAGAGAAGUCUGGGUUCUCAAUCUGACACAUCGUUUAAGUUCAAGUCGGGUUGUCUCUCCUCUGGGAGAUCCUUGCCAUUUGUCCUAAAGUAGUUUUAUAAAAAGCUUUUUGACCUCUCAAA